rnacentral:rRNA from 1 species
UGGGGAAUAUUGCACAAUGGGCGCAAGCCUGAUGCAGCCAUGCCGCGUGUAUGAAGAAGGCCUUCGGGUUGUAAAGUACUUUCAGUCGGGAGGAAGGUGGUAAGGUUAAUAACCUUGGCAAUUGACGUUACCGACAGAAGAAGCACCGGCUAACUCCGUGCCAGCAGCCGCGGUAAUACGGAGGGUGCAAGCGUUAAUCGGAAUUACUGGGCGUAAAGCGCACGCAGGCGGUUGAUUGAGUCAGAUGUGAAAUCCCCGGGCUUAACCCGGGAAUUGCAUCUGAUACUGGUCAGCUAGAGUCUUGUAGAGGGGGGUAGAAUUCCAUGUGUAGCGGUGAAAUGCGUAGAGAUGUGGAGGGAUACCGGUGGCGAAGGCGGCCCCCUGGACGAAGACUGACGCUCAGGUGCGAAAGCGUGGGGAGCAAACAGG